rnacentral:rRNA from 1 species
CCUACGGGAGGCUGCAGUGAGGAAUAUUGGACAAUGGGCGCGAGCCUGAAGCAGCCACGCAGCGUGAAGGAUGACUGCCCUACGGGUUGUACACUUUUUUUAUAAAGGAAUAACGUGAGGCACGUGUGCCUUGUUGUAAGUACUUUAUGAAUAAGGAUCGGCUACCUCCGUGCCAGCAGCGGGGGUAAUACGGAGGAUAUGAGUGUUAACCGGAUUUAUUGGGUUUAGAGGGUGGGGAGAUGGGUUGUUAAGUCAGUUGUGAACGUUUGGGGCUCAACCGGAACAUUGCAGUUGAUACUGGCAGCCUUGAGUACAGUAGAGGUAGGCGGAAUGCGUGGUGUAGCGGUGAAAUGCUUAGAUAUCACGAAGAACUCCGAUUGCGAAGGCAGCCUACUAGACUGCCACUGACAUUGAGGCUCGAAAGUGUGGGUAUCGAACAGGAUUAGAUACCCUUGUAGUC